AAUACACAAAUUUAUUGAUGUCGGUCGCGUUGCUGUGCAUCGCGGGUCGUGUUGCCGCCGGUCAUAUUGUUGCGAGUGUUGCUGUGUUAUUGCGCUCGAACAAUACUUAGAGCUUGCCGUGUUGAAGCUGCAAGAUCAUUUGAACCAGAUACAUUGUAUGGUAUCAAUGAAGAUGUUGAAAAGAAUGAGAUAAAUGAUGAAAUUCAAGAGGAUGACGUAGAUGAUGGAUUUCAAGAGGACGUCGUAGGUGACGAAUUUCAAGAGGACGACAUAGAUCUUGAUGAUAAAUUUCAAGAGGACGAUAUAGAUGGUGAAUUUUUCAAGAGGACGACGUAGAUGAAUAAUUUUUGGAAGACAACAUAUGUGAUGAAUUUCAAGAGGACGAUCUGGAUGAUGAAUUCCAAGAAGACUAACAUGAAUGAGUUGGAUGAUGUCUUUUUUGGUUUUUAGUUGAAAGCAUUAGACUUGAACUAUGUUUUUCUUUUCUUUUCUUGAACUAUGUUUUUUUGUUAUUUUACUAGGGUCAUACUUCAAAUGUUACAUUAGGAAUUUUGUUUACGGGAUACUAUCUCGAUUUUAUUACAAUAUUACAAAUUUUAUGGAUGUACGGUUAAAUU